UCUCCGUUGGUGAACCAGCGGAGGGAUCAUCACCGAGUUUACAACUCCCAAACCCAAUGUGAACCAUACCAAACUGUUGCCUCGGCGGGGUCACGCCCCGGGUGCGUCGCAGCCCCGGAACCAGGCGCCCGCCGGAGGGACCAACCAAACUCUUUCUGUAGUCCCCUCGCGGACGUUAUUUCCUGCAGCUCUGAGCAAAAAUUCAAAAUGAAUCAAAACUUUCAACAACGGAUCUCUUGGUUCUG
rnacentral:misc_RNA from 1 species